GAUGAAGAACGUAGCGAAAUGCGAUACGUAAUGUGAAUUGCAGAAUUCAGUGAAUCAUCGAAUCUUUGAACGCACCUUGCGCCCUUUGGCCAUUCCGAAGGGCAUGCCUGUUUGAGUAUCAUGAACACCUCAACUCUUUAUGGUUUUCCAUGAUGAGCUUGGACUCUGGGGGUUUUGCUGGCUCACAGUCGGCUCCUCUAAAAUGAAUCAGCUUACCAGUGUUUGGUGGGUAUCAUGGGUGUGAUAACUAUCUACGCUUGUGGUUUUUCCACCAGGUAACCUUCAGCAGUGGAGGUUCGCUGGAGCUCAUAGAUGUCUCUCCUCAGUGAGGACAGCCCUUUGAAUGUUUGAUCUCAAAUCAGGUAGGACUACCCGCUGAACUUAAGCAUAUCAAUAAGCGGAGGA
rnacentral:misc_RNA from 1 species